GCAAGGCCCACCUGGUAUGCUGGCCUGGUGAUCAUCAGCUUGACACUGACGGUGUCUGUGGUUUGCUUGCCGCGGAGGAACAAGAGAGGGACAAGAUUAAUUCAAGAAUUUUCAUCCAUCUGGCCACAAAAAAGGGUUCUCAUUUGCAGCUUUAAACCCAGAUUUGUCUCAAGCUCGCUGCAGUCUAUAGACGCCAUCAGAAUUAUCAGAAUCUCAUGAAUGAAAUGAAGACACAUUGGAGCGGGUAAAGAAAGAAGGAAGAGACUGAGCUCCAAACACAAAAUGUUUUUUUCUUCCAUUCUUUCUAAUUUUUUAAUGAAAAUAACAGUAAGUUGAUUCUAUAUAACUUAUUGAGAAAUGUUAAUAUUUGCACCAGAUUGUAUGUUUCCAAAUUAAAGGGUAAAAGAUUGUAUGCUA